rnacentral:rRNA from 1 species
GACAGAGGGUGCAAACGUUGUUCGGAAUUACUGGGCGUAAAGCGCGUGUAGGCUGCUUCGAAAGUCGGAUGUGAAAGCCCUGGGCUCAACCUAGGAAGUGCAUUCGAAACUUCGAAGCUGGAGUCCUGGAGAGGAAGGCGGAAUUCUCGGUGUAGAGGUGAAAUUCGUAGAUAUCGAGAGGAACACCGGUGGCGAAGGCGGGUUGCUGGGCUGACACUGACGCUGAAGCGCGAAAGCUAGGGGAGCGAACGGG